ACCAGACUCCUACGGGAGGCAGCAGUGGGGGAUAUUGCACAAUGGGGGAAACCCUGAUGCAGCAACGCCGCGUGAGUGAAGAAGUAUUUCGGUAUGUAAAGCUCUAUCAGCAGGGAAGAGAAUGACGGUACCUGACUAAGAAGCCCCGGCUAACUACGUGCCAGCAGCCGCGGUAAUACGUAGGGGGCGAGCGUUAUCCGGAUUUACUGGGUGUAAAGGGAGCGUAGACGGCUGGUCAAGUCUGAAGUGAAAGCCCGGGGCUUAACCCCGGAACGGCUUUGGAAACUGAGCAGCUAGAGUGCUGGAGAGGUAAGCGGAAUUCCUAGUGUAGCGGUGAAAUGCGUAGAUAUUAGGAGGAACACCAGUGGCGAAGGCGGCUUACUGGACAGUAACUGACGUUGAGGCUCGAAAGCGUGGGGAGCAAACAGGAUUAGAUACCCCAGUAGC
rnacentral:rRNA from 1 species